GCCUGAGUGGUGGAAUGGCAGACACGCUGCACUCAAAAUGCAGUGCCGCGAGGCGUGCCGGUUCGAGUCCGGCCUCAGGUA
rnacentral:tRNA from 1 species